CCCUUUACCCUGAACAGAUGGUUGCUCAUUGAUUAGGGGCUCCCCUGAGAUGUGGGAGGGGUGGGUUUGAACCUCUGCCAAUGGAAAGGGAAUUAAAUCCACAUCUUUAAUUUGAGUCUGCCUGCCGCUGAAGGGGAAAGCUGCACCAUGAAGACAUCUUGAAAGAAAGACUGCUCUUUGAAAAGGUUAUAAUACAGUUCACUGAAUCUAGAAAGAUGAUUUCAGGCUGUGAAUUCAGCCUGAUGUUACUCCUUUGCUAGAAAGAACUCUGUCGUAUUGGAUAAGAUUACCUUGUGGUGAUAUACUUCAGAAAUAACUUCAAAAAGUCAAGCAAGAAGGAAGAGGAAAUUCGAGCUUUUUCCUCACUGCUCAGCUACACCUGCUCUGCAAUCAAUUAAAUUUGUGGGACUACUCAAAUUAAAAAGGAACUCUUUGAAAACCUUUGGGCCACAGUUACUUAAAAAGGAACAAAUAAUCAAAAUGAAUAUUUGAGAGUGAGAUGUCUUCCUCUAAUACUGAAGAAUAAAAGCAUUUAGAAUAUUCGUUAGUCAAAUGCAAGGUAACAACAGCAACAAACAUUGUCCAUUAAUCUCCUUAUGCAGUUGUGUUAAUGGUCUUUUAUAUAUAUUUAUGGUCUCUAACAAACACAGAAUAAUUUCUAUCUGUUUCUAUCUAAUUUCUAUCAGUUAAAGAGCAAAGGUUUCCUUGCUCAUAAGGGUAAAACAGAAGUAAAUUCUUUAGUUAAAUAUUAAAAGGCAUGUGUGCUAGAGCAGCAUUAAUAAAUGCAUAACAUUUAAAUACACUGGAUUUGAUUUUAUUUCUUAUCCUUUUACAUACAAAUGAAAUCACUGUGAGUGUGUGUGCAUGUACUAUUUUAAAUAUGCAAUAAAAAGGCAUUUUUCACCUAGAA